AAAUGCGAUACCGGUGAAGAUGCCGGUUAAGUGCAGUUAGACGAAAAGACCCCGGAAGCUUUACUGUAAGUUGUUAUUGGCUUUAUGUUUUGGAUACGUAGCGUAGUGGGGAGGCUUUGAAGUUCCGCUCUCGGGCGGGAUGGAGCCGCCAAUGAAACACCCAUUUUUUAAAAUGUAAAAUCUAACCUGACACGCCAAACGUGCCGGGGACAGUAGCUGCUGGGCAGUUUGUGUGGGGCGCAAGCCUCCUAAAAAGUAACGGAGGCGUUUAUUAAGGUCGGCUUGGCGCGGAUGGACAUCGCGCUGGACCUGUAAGAGGAAAAGCCGGCUUGACUGGAAGGGGGACAUCCCGACCAGAUGGGAAACCAGAAUCUAGUGAACCGACCGUCGGCACUCGAUGCCGCGGAAGAUUAACGGAUAAAAGCUACUCCGGGGAUAA
rnacentral:rRNA from 1 species